UAGGACCAGAAUCAUGAACUGAAUUUUUAGUUAGAAGAACAAGCAUUGAAUUACGUGUAUUGUCAGUCAAGCUUACUUCCAGUAAACAUUGAGCCCUAGCAGAACAUAAGGGCAAGUAGAUGCUUGAGUAAAGUGUAUGAAUAACAUAAAGGGCAUGUUCAGGAAAGGGCUGUGCAGAUAUCAUCACCAAGUAAAAAAAUGUUUCCAGUCCAUGUGAGAUAUUCAAAUUAUGCAGGCAAGGGCAGUGCAGAUAUCAUCACCAAGUGAAAAAUGUUUUUAGCUGUACAAAGACCAUUAGAUGCACUAACCGAUGUGGGAUCCAUCACCAUUAUGUGCAUGCAGAAACAUUGGACACUGCAGUAAAAUGUACCUACAGAAUUUGCAGAUAUGAGUUUUUCUUCAGUUAGAUAUAAAAUGGUAUGAGUUUCUUAAUACUAAAAGCUGACAGGAUAAAUCUUGCAGGCCAUUACUCUGAAUUAUAAGUGUACAACUACAACACAAUGCUUGAACUGCAACAAGAACGGAGAUUUGCCUAAUACUUUUUGUUUGCAGUACAAAAAAUGAAUGUGCUUCACGAUGUGACUAGGAAGGAACAAAGCACAAACAAUCAGUAACGAACGAGUAACCCUCAGUGGUGCUCCUGC
rnacentral:lncRNA from 1 species